UACGGAAGGUGCAAGCGUUAGUCGGAGUUAUUGGGCGUAAAGGGUGCGUAGGCGGUGUUCUAAGUUGGAUGUGAAAUUCUGUGGGCUCAACCCCAGACCUAUAUCCAAAACUGGAACGCUUGAGGAAUGGCGGAGAAAACGGAAUUCCAUGUGUAGCGGUGAAAUGCGUAGAUAUAUGGAAGAAGACCUGUGGCGAAAGCGGUUUUCUAGCCUAAUCCUGACGCUAAGGCACGAAAGCAAGGGGAGCAAACAGG
rnacentral:rRNA from 1 species